rnacentral:rRNA from 1 species
GCCAGCAGCCAUAUCACUCUGCAACUCACAACUGGCAGCCCACAGAAGCUAAGCAGGUGUGAGCCUGGUCAGUACCUGGAUGGGAGACCUCCUGGGAAAAACUGGGAAAGUUUGCU